AGACCCGAAACCCGGUGAUCUAGCCAUGGGCAGGUUGAAGGUUGGGUAACACUAACUGGAGGACCGAACCGACUAAUGUUGAAAAAUUAGCGGAUGACCUGUGGCUGGGGGUGAAAGGCCAAUCAAACCGGGAGAUAGCUGGUUCUCCCCGAAAGCUAUUUAGGUAGCGCCUCGUGAAUUCAUCUCCGGGGGUAGAGCACUGUUUCGGCUAGGGGGCCAUCCCGGCUUACCAACCCGAUGCAAACUGCGAAUACCGGAGAAUGUUAUCACGGGAGACACACGGCGGGUGCUAACGUCCGUCGUGAAGAGGGAAACAACCCAGACCGCCAGCUAAGGUCCCAAAGUCAUGGUUAAGUGGGAAACGAUGUGGGAAGGCCCAGACAGCCAGGAUGUUGGCUUAGAAGCAGCCAUCAUUUAAAGAAAGCGUAAUAGCUCACUGGUCGAGUCGGCCUGCGCGGAAGAUGUAACGGGGCUAAACCAUGCACCGAAGCUGCGGCAGCGAACGUAUCACUUAAAGCGAUUCAGCGGGUUACGAUUGACGGAGCGAAGCGACGUCAAAGCGUAUACAAAGUCGAGUCGGUUUAAGGAUACGUUCGUUGGGUAGGGGAGCGUUCUGUAAGCCUGCGAAGGUGGCCUGUGAGGGUUGCUGGAGGUAUCAGAAGUGCGAAUGCUGACAUAAGUAACGAUAAAGCGGGUGAAAAGCCCGCUCGCCGGAAGACCAAGGGUUCCUGUCCAACGUUAAUCGGGGCAGGGUGAGUCGACCCCUAAGGCGAGGCCGAAAGGCGUAGUCGAUGGGAAACGGGUUAAUAUUCCCGUACUUGGUGUUACUGCGAAGGGGGGACGGAGAAGGCUAUGUUGGCCGGGCGACGGUUGUCCCGGUUUAAGCGUGUAGGUGUGUGUUCCAGGUAAAUCCGGUUCACUUUAACACUGAGGCGUGACGACGAGGCACUACGGUGCUGAAGCAACAAAUGCCCUGCUUCCAGGAAAAGCCUCUAAGCAUCAGGUAACAUCAAAUCGUACCCCAAACCGACACAGGUGGUCAGGUAGAGAAUACCAAGGCGCUUGAGAGAACUCGGGUGAAGGAACUAGGCAAAAUGGUGCCGUAACUUCGGGAGAAGGCACGCUGACACGUAGGUGAAGUGAUUUACUCA
rnacentral:rRNA from 3 species